UACGUAGGGUGCGAGCGUUGUCCGGAAUUAUUGGGCGUAAAGAGCUUGUAGGCGGUUUGUCGCGUCUGCUGUGAAAAUCCGGGGCUCAACCCCGGACUUGCAGUGGGUACGGGCAGACUAGAGUGUGGUAGGGGAGACUGGAAUUCCUGGUGUAGCGGUGAAAUGCGCAGAUAUCAGGAGGAACACCGGUGGCGAAGGCGGGUCUCUGGGCCGAUACUGACACUGAGGAGCGAAAGCUAGGGGAGCAAACAGG
rnacentral:rRNA from 1 species